GAGGAAACACUAAGGAGCAAGUGAAUAAACACCAAAAGCUCACUCACACAGAUGCAGUAUGGAAAACUCAAUGAAACAGUGAAUUUAGGAGUAGAGCAACACAACACGGAUGAAAGCAAUGAAACAGUGACUUAUCUGGAAUGUGGAUCAGCAACAAGGCUCUGAAUACCACUUGAUAAGCCUCUCCAUUGCCUGGUUGAAGGUAGAACCCAAGAAAGCAGAGGUUCCAGCAG
rnacentral:lncRNA from 1 species